rnacentral:rRNA from 1 species
UACGAAGGUGGCAAGCGUUGUUCGGAUUUACUGGGCGUACAGGGAGCGUAGGCGGUUGGAUAAGCCCUCCGUGAAAUCUCCAGGCUUAACCUGGAAAGUGCAGAGGGGACUGUUCAGCUAGAGGAUGGGAGAGGAGCGCGGAAUUCCCGGUGUAGCGGUGAAAUGCGUAGAGAUCGGGAGGAAGGCCGGUGGCGAAGGCGGCGCUCUGGGAACAUUUCUGACGCUGAGGCUCGAAAGCGUGGGGAGCAAACAGG